rnacentral:rRNA from 1 species
CCUACGGGCGGCAGCAGUGGGGAAUAUUGGGCAAUGGGCGCAAGCCUGACCCAGCAACGCCGCGUGAAGGACGAAGGCUUUCGGGUUGUAACCUUCUUUUCUGAGGGACGACGGACGUGACGGUACCUCAGGAAUAAGCCACGGCUAACUACGUGCCAGCAGCCGCGGUAAUACGUAGGUGGCAAGCGUUAUCCGGAUUUAUUGGGUGUAAAGGGCGUGUAGGCGGGAAAGCAAGUCAGAUGUGAAACCUAAGGGCUCAACCCUGAGCCUGCAUUUGAAACUGUUUUUCUUGAGUGCUGGAGAGGCAAUCGGAAGUCCGUGUGUAGCGGUGAAAUGCGUAGAUAUACGGAGGAACACCAGUGGCGAAGGCGGAUUGCUGGACAGUAACUGACGCUGAGGCGCGAAAGCGUGGGGAGCAAACAGGAUUAGAUACCCUGGUAGUC